GGCUCAGGAUUAACGCUGGCGGCGUGCCUAAUACAUGCAAGUCGAAUGGUAGCAAUACCAUGGCGAACGGGUGAGUAACACGUAGGUAACCUGUCUUUAAGCCGAGGAUAACCAUUGGAAACGAUGGAUAAUACUGGAUAGGAUAUUUUAAGGCAUCUUUUAAUAUUUAAAGAUUUAUCACUUAGAGAGGGGCCUGCGGCGCAUUAGCUAGUUGGUGAGGUGAAGGCUUACCAAGGCGAUGAUGCGUAGCCGGACUGAGAGGUUGAACGGCCACAAUGGAACUGAGAACGGUCCAUACUCCUACGGGAGGCAGCAGUAGGGAAUUUUCGGCAAUGGGCGGAAGCCUGACCGAGCAACGCCGCGUGAACGAAGAAGUAUUUCGGUAUGUAAGGUUCUUUUAUUAGGGACGAAAAGACAGAUUGACGGUACCUAAUGAAUAAGCUCCGGCUAACUACGUGCCAGCCGCCGC
rnacentral:rRNA from 1 species